rnacentral:misc_RNA from 2 species
AACGCACAUUGCGCCCUUUGGUAUUCCGAAGGGCAUGCCUGUUCGAGCGUCAUUAUCAACCCUCAAGCCUGGCUUGCUGUUGGACCUCUCGUCGUUGAAGACGGGUCCUAAAGUUAAUGGCGGAGUCGUCUGGACCCUAGAUGCAACGAGCUCUCGCAGCACGCAUUUAAGGGGCUGGCGGCUCUAGUCUCAACCCAUAUCAUUUACAAGGUUGACCUCGGAUCAGGUAGGAAUACCCGCUGAACUUAA